CCUGCGAUAGUUUAAAUGAAAACGCCAGCCUUUCCCGCUGGAAUUGCAGGUUCCAUCCUGCUCGCAGGG
rnacentral:tRNA from 1 species